GUAAAAAUAGAUUCUGCAUUCUACAGUGUGGUGAGUUCCUUAGUUAUUAUAUCCACCUUUCCUUAACAAGUUUGAGGUAUCCCAUGCAGAAGAAAAGAACCUAGGUUUGAAGAAAAAGUAAAAAAAGCUGAAAAAAGGAGGCCAAACAAACACAGAGUUCUUUUCACCCAAUGAGUUAAGCAGGAUCAUGUGGUGCAUGUGUUUGCUUAUGGAAGAGAAUGAAAGUAGGACUUUGAGAAAAGCAAAGGAAAGAAAACGAUGCAAAGAGAGAAAGUGUGUGUGUGACAUAAGGUGUAGUUGAUGCUGAGAGAAACCCCAACAAGGUCGUGUCAAUUUUACAUGAAACUCUUGCCAAUGAUUCCUUCUCUAUAGUUCAAUGAUAAAG
rnacentral:sRNA from 1 species